UUCGAUGUGGCUCUAUUUGUGGUGAGGCGAGGGAAAAAAACGGAGACAGACAAGAGAGCUGCACAGGAUCUAUGGAGGUUAGUGUGAGUACCAAUACCAAAUCGUUGAAGUUCUGUAUGGAUUCUAUGCAGCCACGUAGGCACUGUUAUAUUUAUUUGUAUGUGUGUAUGUAUAUAUAUUUGCGAAUGUAUAUAUAUUUGUAUAUAUGUAUUUAUAUAUAAUUAGGAUGUGGGGUGGGGCUAACCUAGGAACUUUACCUAAGCUUUGUUUCCUUACCAGGCUUCGGACUUUUCACUUAAAUCCUAUGGUGAAAACCAGCAAAGACAAAACUUUAUUACAGAUUAUUUUGAUUUAUGUCAGAUGAUAUUGAAAAAUACAAAUUAUUGUGUAAAAAUGAUACUAUUGUUUGAUAUAGGCUUUGGGGGAUGGGAUAAUGAUUUUGCAGAAGCGGACGCCUUCCUGCAUACCUUGUAUCUUGUACUGAGACUCCUAGAGAUGGCUUUCAGGGGAAGCAGAUGGCAGGCUCUGAUUGAAGAAUCAUGGGAUCUGGGGCCUCCAUCUCUUCCGCCAUCCUCCAGUUUCCAGACUGUCAUGUCUACCUGGCCAUCUUAAUAAAGGAAAUGGUGGACUUUUGAGGAAAGACCUAGAAUCCUACAGGUGGUUUAAAAAUAAAUUUUCUCUUUCUCCCCCCUUUUCCUUUUCCUCUCCCCCUCUCUGUUUUACCCAUUUCAGUGUAGGUGAAGCCCUAGGUUAUGACUGUGUCUCUUAAUCUCAAAAGGCAGGGCCGAGGAACAGAGAUGUUUGGUGCUAGGCUAUCACAAGCACUCAGCACUCACCCUCUUCCUUUUCUUUGUCUGUUCCCAGGGCUUCUCAUGUUUGAAGUAGGGCUUUUUACCCCUGGAAGCAAGGGAAAGAGGGGGAGACUGUUUCAGAACUGUGGAGGUUGGUAUGAAGAUCCUCCUGCAUGUCUGCUUCAGAGUCUGAGGUUCUUGGAAGCAAGGAAGCAAAGAGGAAAUGAUCUCUGA
rnacentral:lncRNA from 1 species